rnacentral:rRNA from 1 species
GAUGAACGCUGGCGGCGUGCUUAACACAUGCAAGUCGAACGGUGAACGAGGGAGCUUGCUCCCUCCGGAUCAGUGGCGAACGGGUGAGUAACACGUGGGCAAUCUGCCCUGGACUCUGGGAUAAGCGUUGGAAACGACGUCUAAUACCGGAUACGAGGCGUGGGGGCAUCCCCAACGCCUGGAAAGAACUUCGGUCCAGGAUGAGCUCGCGGCCUAUCAGCUAGUUGGUGAGGUAACGGCUCGCCAAGGCGACGACGGGUAGCCGGCCUGAGAGGGUGACCGGCCACACUGGGACUGAGACACGGCCCAGACUCCUACGGGAGGCAGCAGUGGGGAAUAUUGCACAAUGGGCGCAAGCCUGAUGCAGCAACGCCGCGUGAGGGACGACGGCCUUCGGGUUGUAAACCUCUUUUAGCAGGGAAGAAGCGAAAGUGACGGUACCUGCAGAAAAAGCACCGGCUAACUACGUGCCAGCCGCCGCAGUAACAC